rnacentral:pre_miRNA from 13 species
UGAGUCUCUGGCUAUCAAUCUCAACCAGACCUUGACUGGUUUGUCUGUAUUGGCAGUUCACUCAGCAUGGCUUUGGUUGGUAGAUAGGUGGUCGGUCAUACA